UGAAAAGAGAUAAAAAUUCUGAGACCAAAAACAGAUGAGAAUUCUGAAACUGUACUAAUUUCCAGCAUAUUUCUUUGAUAAAAGUUGAUAUAAUUUUGUGUCAGCUGGGGAUUUCUGAUCUUCUUCAUUUAGUUAAAUCUCUGAAAGUUUUACAUCUUGCACCUGGGUUGAAUAUGGUCUGAUUUUGGGUUUCUAAAACUGAUUUUGAACUAUUGAGAGACUAUUGUUCCAUUGCUGCUGUUGACACUGACCUGUUAUUGCUGACCUUCUUCCUUUUCUGUCAUUUUGUUUUCCAGGUAUUGUCAAACACUAUGGACAUCACUUAAGUGCAUUUGAAGUUUGGAAUCUGAAAUUGAUCAAGAACUGUAGAUGUUCACAAUGAGUCUUAGUCGUUUCCCUUCAAUUUCAUAUAUGCUUGCAAUGUUUAUCAUUAGAAAUAUUUUGACUCGUAAAUAGAGCAUGGGCUGAUUGUCACAGCAUAAAACUGAAGUUUUGAGUGAUUUGAUUUUCUUGUUUAGCAUCAGUUGUGUUGAAAAUAGCUAUGGGUGAAAGAAGUG
rnacentral:lncRNA from 1 species